rnacentral:rRNA from 1 species
GAUGAACGCUGGCGGCGUGCCUAAUACAUGCAAGUCGAGCGAACAGACGAGGAGCUUGCUCCUCUGACGUUAGCGGCGGACGGGUGAGUAACACGUGGAUAACCUACCUAUAAGACUGGGAUAACUUCGGGAAACCGGAGCUAAUACCGGAUAAUAUAUUGAACCGCAUGGUUCAAUAGUGAAAGACGGUUUUGCUGUCACUUAUAGAUGGAUCCGCGCCGCAUUAGCUAGUUGGUAAGGUAACGGCUUACCAAGGCAACGAUGCGUAGCCGACCUGAGAGGGUGAUCGGCCACACUGGAACUGAGACACGGUCCAGACUCCUACGGGAGGCAGCAGUAGGGAAUCUUCCGCAAUGGGCGAAAGCCUGACGGAGCAACGCCGCGUGAGUGAUGAAGGUCUUCGGAUCGUAAAACUCUGUUAUUAGGGAAGAACAAAUGUGUAAGUAACUAUGCACRUCUUGACGGUACCUAAUCAGAAAGCCACGGCUAACUACGUGCCAGCAGCCGCGGUAAUACGUAGGUGGCAAGCGUUAUCCGGAAUUAUUGGGCGUAAAGCGCGCGUAGGCGGUUUUUUAAGUCUGAUGUGAAAGCCCACGGCUCAACCGUGGAGGGUCAUUGGAAACUGGAAAACUUGAGUGCAGAAGAGGAAAGUGGAAUUCCAUGUGUAGCGGUGAAAUGCGCAGAGAUAUGGAGGAACACCAGUGGCGAAGGCGACUUUCUGGUCUGUAACUGACGCUGAUGUGCGAAAGCGUGGGGAUCAAACAGGAUUAGAUACCCUGGUAGUCCACGCCGUAAACGAUGAGUGCUAAGUGUUAGGGGGUUUCCGCCCCUUAGUGCUGCAGCUAACGCAUUAAGCACUCCGCCUGGGGAGUACGACCGCAAGGUUGAA